AUACAUGUGUGUAAAUAGUAUAUAGUAAAAUAAUAAAUAGUAUAUUUAUAAUUCCACAGGGUCAGAGUAGUCAGAGUAGCGUAAUGCUUCAAUUAGCAACUAAUUAACACCUAAAAUACCAGGUGAGGCUACUUCCUAUACUUAUUUACAUAAAGAACAUCAGGAAAAUCACCAAGGUAGUUCAGAAACCAGAGACUCUGCAAGGAGUACACUCUUCAGGUUUCACAGUUUUCGCUUUGGAACGACAUGCGACGGGGCAGUGAGUCACAUUACCUGGAGUUCCAGGUGUGAAUCUGUCACACACAGAAAGGUGCUUCCGAACCAUACAGGGCACUGGCCUCCAGCGAUCUCGCAGAGCCACCCGAAGACUGACACAGCCACGGAGCGGACAGAUAUGAGCUUUCCGGAGGGCAGCCCUUCCGCGCCAAGCCGCCCGGGAACAGAGGAGACUCGCUGCAACGUGGGAAGGUCCCUGACACUAAAUUAUCACCUCCACGCUCCACUUUGAUAGCAUGAUGAGGCCGAUCUCCAAUCGAACAUCCGCGUCGGGGAUUGUGACCAGGACUUCCACGUGUGCUGAAGCGUAGCUCACGCUGACAGAAGGACACCCCGAGUCGGGUGAAGCUCUCCCGCCAUUCACCGUCUGAUGCAGUUGUCUCUUCAGGUGCCCCCCUCCACACUGCCCCCUGGGAGGGGCUCAUGGCUCUGCAGCACGGUGCGUGCUUUUGCCUCGCUGCCCUUCUACUUCAGGACAGCAUGGCAUUGGUUUUGUUGCUAUAUAUUUUGUUGCUAAAUAUUGAU